CCCUUAGAUGUUCUGGGCCGCACGCGCGCUACACUGAUGCAUUCAACGAGCCUAUCCUUGACCGACAGGUCCGGGUAAUCUUUGAAUCUGCAUCGUGACGGGGAUAGAUUAUUGCAAUUAUUAAUCUUCAACGAGGAAUUCCCAGUAGGCGCGAGUCAUCAGCUCGCGUCGAUUACGUCCCUGCCCUUUGUACACACCGCCCGUCGCUACUACCGAUCGGAUGGUUUAGUGAGACCCUCGGACUGGUCCCGCUGUCGGACAGGCAACUGUUUGCAGCGCGUGCGCCGGGAAGAAGGUCGAACUUGACUAUCUAGAGGAAGUAAAAGUCGUAACA
rnacentral:rRNA from 1 species